UGGGGAAUCUUGCACAAUGGGGGCAACCCUGAUGCAGCGACGCCGCGUGAGCGAUGAAGCCCUUCGGGGCGUAAAGCUCCUUCGACCGGAACGAUAAUGACGGUACCGGGAGAAGAAGCUGCGGCUAACUACGUGCCAGCAGCCGCGGUAAUACGUAGGCAGCAAGCGUUGUUCGGAGUUACUGGGCGUACAGAGUGCGUAGGCGGUUUUCUAAGUUCGGUGUGAAAUCUCCCGGCUUAACUGGGAGGGUGCGCCGAAGACUGGGAAGCUGGAGUGUGGGAAAGGCAGGCGGAAUUCCUGGUGUAGCGGUGAAAUGCGUAGAUAUCAGGAGGAACACCGGCGGUGUAGACGGCUUGCUAGACCAUAACUGACGCUGAGGCACGAAAGCGUGGGUAGCAAACA
rnacentral:rRNA from 1 species